UGGGGAAUCUUGCACAAUGGGGGCAACCCUGAUGCAGCGACGCCGCGUGAGCGAUGAAGCCCUUCGGGGCGUAAAGCUCUUUCGACCGGAACGAUAAUGACGGUACCGGGAGAAGAAGCUGCGGCUAACUACGUGCCAGCAGCCGCGGUAAUACGUAGGCAGCAAGCGUUGUUCGGAGUUACUGGGCGUAAAGAGUGCGUAGGCGGUUUUCUAAGUUCGGUGUGAAAUCUCCCGGCUUAACCGGGAGGGUGCGCCGAAAACUGGUUGGCUGGAGUAUGGGAGAGGGAAGCGGAAUUCCUGCUGUAGCGGUGAAAUGCGUAGAUAUCAGGAGGAACACCUGCGGUGUAGACAGCUUUCUGGACCAAAACUGACGCUGAGGCACGAAAGCGUGGGUAGCAAACA
rnacentral:rRNA from 1 species